rnacentral:rRNA from 1 species
UACGAAUGGGGCUAGCGUUGUUCGGAUUUACUGGGCGUAAAGCGCACGUAGGCGGAUCGUUAAGUCGGGGGUGAAAUCCUGGAGCUCAACUCCAGAACUGCCUUCGAUACUGGCGAUCUUGAGUCCGGAAGAGGUGAGUGGAACUCCUAGUGUAGAGGUGGAAUUCGUAGAUAUUAGGAAGAACACCAGUGGCGAAGGCGGCUCACUGGUCCGGUACUGACGCUGAGGUGCGAAAGCGUGGGGAGCAAACAGG